rnacentral:rRNA from 1 species
GACGAACGCUGGCGGCGUGCUUAACACAUGCAAGUCGAGCGGUAAGGCCCUUUCGGGGGUACACGAGCGGCGAACGGGUGAGUAACACGUGGGUGACCUGCCCUCAGCUCUGGGAUAAGCCUGGGAAACUGGGUCUAAUACUGGAUAUGACUCCACGGUGCAUGUCGUGGGUGGAAAGCCUUGUGCGGCUGAGGAUGGGCCCGCGGCCUAUCAGCUUGUUGGUGGGGUGAUGGCCUACCAAGGCGACGACGGGUAGCCGGCCU